rnacentral:rRNA from 1 species
UACGUAGGGAGCGAGCGUUAUCCGGAAUUAUUGGGUGUAAAGGGUGCGUAGACGGGAAUGCAAGUUAGUUGUGAAAUCCCUCGGCUUAACUGAGGAACUGCAACUAAAACUACAUUUCUUGAGUGCAGGAGAGGUAAGUGGAAUUCCUAGUGUAGCGGUGAAAUGCGUAGAUAUUAGGAGGAACACCAGUGGCGAAGGCGACUUACUGGACUGUAACUGACGUUGAGGCACGAAAGCGUGGGUAGCAAACAGG